GCGGUGGUAGUUCAGUUGGUUAGAAUACCUGCCUGUCACGCAGGGGGUCGUGGG
rnacentral:tRNA from 1 species